rnacentral:rRNA from 1 species
GACGAACGCUGGCGGCGUGCUUAACACAUGCAAGUCGAACGAUGAAGAAGAGAAACGCGAACUUCGGUUCAAAUUUCACUUCGGAUUAGUGGCAGACGGGUGAGUAACGCGUGAGCAACCUACCUCUUACAAAGGGAUAGCCUCGGGAAACCGUGAUUAAUACCAUAUGACACAUUCAUAAGGUAUCUUAAGAAUGUUAAAGCUACGGCGGUAAGAGAUGGGCUCGCGUCCCAUUAGCUAGUUGGUGAGGUAACGGCCCACCAAGGCGACGAUGGGUAACCGGCCUGAGAGGGUGAACGGUCACAUUGGAACUGAGACACGGUCCAAACUCCUACGGGAGGCAGCAGUGGGGAAUAUUGCACAAUGGAGGGAACUCUGAUGCAGCGACGCCGCGUGAGCGAUGAAGGAAUUCGUUUCGUAAAGCUCUGUUCUAUGGGAAGAAAAGGACUGUACCAUAGGAGAAAGCCCCGGCUAAAUACGUG